rnacentral:rRNA from 1 species
GACGAACGCUGGCGGCGUGCUUAACACAUGCAAGUCGAACGGAAAGGCCCUGCUUUUGUGGGGUGCUCGAGUGGCGAACGGGUGAGUAACACGUGAGCAACCUGCCCUUGACUUUGGGAUAACUUCAGGAAACUGGGGCUAAUACCGGAUAGGAGCUCCUGCUGCAUGGUGGGGGUUGGAAAGUUUCGGCGGUUGGGGAUGGACUCGCGGCUUAUCAGCUUGUUGGUGGGGUAGUGGCUUACCAAGGCUUUGACGGGUAGCCGGCCUGAGAGGGUGACCGGCCACAUUGGGACUGAGAUACGGCCCAGACUCCUACGGGAGGCAGCAGUGGGGAAUAUUGCACAAUGGGCGGAAGCCGGAUGCAGCAACGCCGCGUGCGGGAUGACGGCCUUCGGGUUGUAAACCGCUUUCGCCUGUGACGAAGCGUGAGUGACGGUAAUGGGUAAAGAAGCACCGGCUAACUACGUG